UAUCCUCCAACCAAAAUCCUUUGGUCAUACCCAGGUGCUCCUAUUUCCCUCAUAUCCAGCUAUGGCAAGGAGUCUUCUGCAAAUGUGAGUCCGCAGACCCCACUAAACUCCUUAUCAACAAGAUCAAGGUCUGCUAACACACUGAUGUCUUUCAGGCAACACUGCCAGACUGUCACAAUAUGUUUUUAUCCGAAUCUCUUCUUCAUGGCAAACAAGUGCUGAUUGCUAAGCACCUUUCUUGUAAUGGGAAAAUCGUUGUUCUCUACAAUAUUCAACUGAACAAAUAGAAUCAUGUUGAUAUUGUGCUAUAUCAUAGCCAUUCACUUCACUUGCCAUGGAAAUACAUCAACUUUUAAUCAUUUCAAUGGUGCUGAGUUUCCCUGAAGGGCUGGAAAAAUACCAUUUCCUCAGUACAACCCCUUUUCCUAAUAUAAUCAUGGCCUGGCUGAACUGGAAGAUAGAGAGGCCUCCCUGAUCUGGGACUCUAAGAAGCUCAAUAAGUUGGAUUUUUCCUGUGGUUGACUUUACAGCUUAAAGGCUUAAUGAAGAGUUCUUAAUUAAUUAAGAGCCCUGUGAUCACAAACGGGAUUACUGAAGUCUACUGAUGCAGGAAGAAUGCAUCUUGAGAAGAAGAAAGGAAAUUAAAACUGGAUGUUGCCCCAAGGCCAGAAAAGCAUUCAGUGCUCUACAUGAAUGAGAAGUAAACAUUGAGGGAAUGAGAGCCGACGCUUCUGAGUUUUCAACGUGCAUGUGUAUACGCACUGUCUUUCCAAAGGGAACUUGGGAAGUUGGCAUAUGCCAUCCUAGCCUAGUAGUCGGAGGACACUUGCUGCUAUCAAAAGGAACAAAUCAUUUGUGCAACAUAAUUCAUCCAUCAAUUGCCAUUACAGCUAGAGAAAAACAAAUCGCUGAAUGCCAGUGGUGGUGCGGGGGAGAAACCGUAAGAGAUUUGUCAGAGACAGCACAAAACAGACUCUAAGGCACAACUCGGAAGACCUUGACAUCUUUGACAGUACUUUGGGGGUUGUGCAUGUUACACUUGACACUGCAUAAUCUGAGCAAGAGAUGCUGAAUAACAUCAAGAGGAAUCUGAAUGUAGCCUUUUAGCACAGACCCAGCAGAUCAAGAACCUGAGCCUGAUCCUGCUGGGUGCACUUUGCUUUGCUGGUCUUUGGCUCAGGCCCUAAGCUUGAACAGGCAUCAAAGGUUUUCGUAUUUGCCCCCCAUUCAUUCUAGCAGAAUAAAGGGAUUUUGUCUGUUGUUUUAAAAAUUCAACCAAGAGCUUUUGUUAUAGAAGCUUUUUUGGAUUAUUGGAGAGGGGCACUGGUUUGCAAAAGGAGAUACAGCAAGAUAGCUUUCUCAGCUUUUUCAGUUUAACAGGGCUGGGGGAAAUCUGCAUACAGUGCUUCCCAUCUGCCUCGCUUUGCCUCCACUGUGGAGUCUUCACUCUGCUUUUUCUCUCCGCAGUCUUGCCUAUGGAGUCCACCUAUCCACUGCUCUCUCUGCGUCCCUAAUGCCGGAGUUCUCCUGUUCUCAUUCAGUGUUAUACCUUAAUUCUUCUAGUUUCCUCAUUCGGGGCCCCAGAGCUCUAUCCAGGCUCCAGUAUAUGUGAGAGUGCUAGUAGAAGUGCUUUGCAAAAGAAUUCACUUCUCAGUAGGUAGCUUCUCACAUUCCCUAUCCAUUUUAAGAAUAGAUUGAAAGCUGCCUUUGUUUCUGAGUUAGAUUUGAGCUGCAGUGUGCUGCAAACACAGUGAGGAGCUUGCCAGGCAUGAAGGACCAGCUGACUAUGAACUCCAGGGCUACAGAGCAACCUAUAGACAUCUGUACUAGACUUCCAUGCUGACCUUCGAUCUGGCAGAUUGUAGGAGACCUUUGUUUGCCACUGUACUUCCAAGAGGCUUCUCGCAGAAUCUUUCUCUGUUUCCAACACCUACUUGCUCCAGUUUCGUUAUAGGUUUCAUGUCUUCCUUUCCUCUCCUGCUGCUUACUUAGCCUUUGCUGCUUCACUCCCCACUACCUCCUCCCUCCACUGAAGAGGCAAGAGCAUUCUCCAAGCAGUCUUUCCUUAUUUCUUCUCCUGGAUCACCUCUUUAGUUCAUUCCUAUUGUUGCUUCAAUUUUCUCCUUUGGCUAUGUACCCCUCAGCAAAGGCUUGACCUAGAGGCUGGAGUCAGUGGAAUUCUUUACAUCAUUUCAACUGUUAUUUAAUUAGACUGUAGUGUAUCAUAGAGGUGUUCUGAGGAUAAACCAUUGUAAAAGUGUUUUUUUAAGUCUUUCUUAGCGUUAUAUCCCUCCAUCUUCUCCUUAGUCAGCUGCUGAGUCAAAUGCCAUUGGUAUGACCUUUCAAGUGAUAUUUGGCUAAUAUCACUCUCUCUUCUUAACCAUGCACCCCGCCCAAUGAACUUCAUUAUAAUUACUAUACUAGUUUUUUCUUAGAUCUCUUACAAUUUGUUGCCAAGCCAUUUUCAUGCAUGACUCUCCUUUACUGGUCCUCAAAUUCAUCUCAUUACUUCAUUUUCAGCUGCAUUCAGUAGUCUUUCUUGAAAAAGGAAAGAAUUCCCUCAUUGCACAAGCAUCAGAACGUAGAAUUUGGCUUCCUUAGAUGACUUCUGGAGAAUUAAAUAAUUAAUUAAUUGAAAGGAAUGCUUGGGUCCACAAUGCAUAAGGGGGCCUGAAGUCCCAACAAAUCCAAAACACAGCUUCACCUUUUCCCGCAAAGGUAAGUGUGCGUUCUCUUCUAGGUUGGCUGAUCUCCUCCGGCAGGCUUUAAACUAGGUUUGUCAGGGGAAGGGGAAGACAAGGGUGGAGGAAGCCUUGGACCACUAAAUCAAGCAGCACCCACAAGAACAGUCCAGCCUAGACUGACGAUGAGCAGAACAAAUACCCAGGUAAGCAACAGGGGCCUGGGUAGUACUGAGAUUAGGGGGCCAGUGCAUGCAUCUUCAGGAGGCCUCAAGUGCCUCUACACUAAUGCUUGUAGCAUGGGGAACAAGCAGGAGGAACUCACCCUCCUGCUAGCUAACACCAACCCAGACAUAGUGGGGCUCACCGAAACAUGGUGGGAUCCAACACAUGACUGGGCAGUGAAUAUCAAGGGCUAUAGGCUGUACAGGAGGGAUAACACAGGGAGGAGAGGUGAGGGUAUGACGCUCUACGUCAGGGAGAAAUACACAUCCUCAAUAAGUGGCACUGGGUCAGAGGAGGGGCACACUGAUGUGCUCUGGGUUAGAAUACAAGGAAGUUGAGGGGAAAGGGACUUAAUGGUGGGGGUUUACUACAGACCACCCAGCCAAGGUGAAGAGCUAGACCGGGAAUUCUUAAGUCAGCUCACGGAGGUAGUUAGGUCAAAGGACGUGGUCAUUAUGGGGGACCUGAACUUUCCAGACAUCUGCUGGGAAGAGCAAUCAGCCAGGUCUGACCGCUCACGUAGGUUCCUAGCCGUGUUACAGGACCUCCAUCUAACCCAGGAGGUGCACAGCCCCACCAGGGGAGAUGCCUUGUUGGAUCUGGUCCUGGCCACGGGUGACAACCUGGUGAGGGGUCUGCGGGUGUUCAACCACCUGGGCGAUAGCAAUCAUUGCCUGCUGGAAUUCACCAUCCAGCACAAGGUGGCAAAGGCCUGCAGCAAGGCAGCAGCCCUGGACUUCAGGAGGGUGGAUUUCAAUGAGGUAAGGAGAAUAGUCAGGGAGGCACUGAGGUCCCGGAGGAGAGAGGGAGUCGGGUGUCUAGGAAGAGUGGUUGUCCGUUAAGGAGACAAUCCUCCAAGCCCAAAGGGAGGUAAUCCCAACAUGGAUCAAAGGGGGCAAGAGGGUGCAAAAGCCCCCAUGGCUCACCAAAAGCAUACAGGAACAUCUCCUAGCUAAAAAGGAGGCAUACACCCAAUGGAAGGGAGGAGCCAUCACCAGGGAGGACUAUACCUUGGUUGCUCGGGGCUGUAGGGGGGGCGGUCAGGAAGGCCAAGGUGGAGAUGGAACCGGGACUAGCUACCCAGAUCAAGGACAACAAGAAGUCCUUUUUCAAAUACAUAGGGGGUAAAAAGAAGGUACCGGGUAACAUGGGGCCUCUGCAGGACACGCUAGGAAAUCUAGUCAUCGCACCAGACAGCAAAGUGAACCUAUUUAACAAUUUCUUUGCCUCCAUUUUUCUGAGCAGGAACCAGGCCACCCCCCCUACCAGGACCCCUGUAGGCCCCAGGGGAGGCACAGCCAGGCCUAGGGUCAGUGAGGAUCUAGUCAGGGAACUUCUGGAGGGACUGGAUGUAUUUAAAUCAGCUGGUCCUGACGAUCUCCACCCCAGAGUGCUGAGGGACUUAACAGAGGUCCUUGCGGGACCCCGGCACGGCUUUAUGAGCACUCAUGGUGCUCUGGCAUGGUGUCAGAGGACUGGAAAAGGGCCAAUGUGGUUCCCAUUUUCAAAAAAGGGAGGAAGGAGGACUCAGAAAACUAUAGGCCAAAUAGUCUUAUCUCGGUCCUGGGUAAGCUUUUUGAGAGAGUUAUCCUGGUGCAAAUCUGUGAGGGGCCAGCACGGGAGAUUAUGCUUAGGGGCAACCAACACAGGCUCAUUAGAGGCAGGUCCUAUCAGACCAACCUGGCGGCCUUCUAUGACCAGGUCACAAAAUCCUUAGACGCAGGGGUAGCAGUGGACGUAGUCUUUCUGGACUUUAGGAAGGCCUUCGACACUGUCUCUCACCCCAUUCUCAUUAAAAAACUAGGGGACUGUGGCUUCGACACCUACACAGUCAAAUAGAUCACUAGUUGGCUGGAGGACCGCACCCAGAGAGUGGUGGUGGACGGGUCAUUUUUGAUGUGGAGGGAUGUGGGCAGUGGGGUCCCCCAGGGCUCGGUCCUUGGGCCCACACUGUUCAACAUCUUCACCAGCGACUUGGACGAGAGGGUAAAAAGCACCCUGUUCAAACUCGCAGAUGACACUAAGAUGUGGGGAGAAGUGGGCAUGCUAGAAGGGAGGAAUAGGCUGCAAUCAGACCUGGACAGGUUACAGGGGUGGGCAGAUGAGAACAGGAUGGGUUUCAACACUGACAAGUACAAGGUGCUGCACCUGGGGAGGAAGAACCAGCAGCAGAUCUACAGGCUGGUAAACUCCCUUCCCGUCAGUGCAGAGGCAGAAAAGGAUCUUGGAGUCAUUAUUGAGGCCAAAAUGAACAUGGGCCGACAGUGUGGGGUCGCGGUCAGGAAGGCCAACCACAUCUUAUCAUGCAUCCACAGAUGCAUCUCAAGCAGGUCCAAGGAGGUGAUCCUCCCCCUCUAUGAGACACUGG